ensembl:misc_RNA Metazoa_SRP Metazoan signal recognition particle RNA
GCUGGGUGUGGUGGCUCACCCCUGUAAUCCCAGCUACUCUGGAGGCUGAGGCAGGAGAAUCGCUUGAACCCAGGAGGUGGAGGUUGCAGUGAACCAAGAUCGCACCACUGUACUCCAGCCUGGGUAACAGAGCGAUACUCUGUCUCGA